GUGUUCAAUGAUGAUUCUGAUGCGUAUGCCUGAUAUCCUUUUGGAUAAUGAAGGCAUCUUCAGUCACUACCUCUUCUGAGACAC
ensembl:snoRNA